UGAAGCUUCUUCUAUCAUUUCAUAUACAAGGUAAAUAAAAAAAAUAUUGAGAUUUUACAAUUCAUUAUAAAAUAAUAAUAGCAGUAUGUUGCAACAGAUGGAUAGUCUGUUGUCAUAAAUUAACAUUAUGUUGCCACAUAUGUACCUGCUGUUGCAACACAUAAAAUUUCUGUCGCAACAUAUAGAUCUUAUGUAGUAACAGAUGAAUCAUAUGUUGACACAAAUGUAAAGAUUAUUGCAAUAUUUGAAUCUAAUGUGGCAACAGAUGACCAUUUUGUUGACAUAAAGUGAGAUGUUACAACAUAUGAUAACUAUUUGAAUAUGCACCAACAUAUCACUAAAAUGUUACAACAUACGCUAAAUAUUUCAACAAAUGAAAUAUAUUUUGGACGCCUGAACAACACUAUAUUUCUAAAAUCAUAUCAACAAAAUGACCACAAAAAGAACAACAACAGCAACAAAAAACGACUUUUCACUUAAUGAUAACAAAACAUAUACAUUUCCUCAAAAUAAGGAUUUUUUGAGUUGACUGAUUUUCUUUCAAAAAUAAUAAAUAAUACACACCAUUAAGUCGAUUAUUCAAGUUUUACAUCUACCAAACCUUUUAUUGGUCAUUAAUCCAAGAAAAAAACUUUAAAAAUUGUAAAACAUUUCAAAAAAAAUAACUUACCCAUUUCUUGUCGAACACGAUUACAGUUCAGGAAGAUGAGAGAGUAAUGGAGGACUGGAGAGGAAGAGUAACAAAUGGAGAGAAAGAGUAACGAUGGAUUUCCGAAUUUCUAAGGAAGAAGAAGAACAAUCCCCCCAAGGGAGGAAGAAAAGAAGAGAGAGUAGAGAGAAUGGAAGAUGAGAAGUUUUUUCUUUUUAAAUGAUUUGGUUUGAAUUAUAAAAAUGUGCUUUUUUGAAUUUUAUUAAAGAUUAGAAAGUUUUAAAAAUAUUAAUUUGGUGCUAUAUUUAUUUAAUUACAUUUUAAAAAGAAUUUGACCAGCUCAUGGCCAAUCUGUCACCAAAAACAAAAACGAGACUUAUAUGACACCUUUCCCUUAAUUUUCUCCACAAACUAAACCUAGAAAAUUCUAGCUUAUGGACAUGACUGUAAAGUCAUCAAAAAGAGGACCUGAAGAAGAUCAAGCUCCUUCCUAAAUCCUCCAAAUAAAGGUAGAUUUAAGGAGGUUCUUUCAUUCUUUUUGUUUUCCUUCUCCGAAAGAUUGCCAUUCCAGUUUUGUCUAGUUGGUAAUAAGCUGCUGCUUCUUUUGGAACUUGCUGGAUGUUGAAGUAGACCUGUGGAUUGGUGAUCUUGUGACUAUACUUUGAGAGUGCAUCAGCUACAUAGUUAUCCUCUCGAAGUGUGUGAAUGCAAAUGAAGUGCUGGACUUGGUUGAUGAUGUUUUGCAGUUUUCGAAUCUGAUUAGAAAUGUUCCAAGGGGGAGAACUUUUUCUCUGUAUUCAAUCAAUUAGCAGUUGAAAGUCGACUUCCAGAAUGACAUAGUUGAUUUUUAAGUGAAAACACCAUGACAUCCCAAAAAUUGCAGGCUCAACUUCAGCUUGAUCUUUCGUACCUUCACUAAGAAGUAUUGCAUAUGCUAUAAUCAGAUCUCCACUGGAACUUCUGAGGAUGCCACCAGCCCCUAUUUUUCCUGGAUUAUUCAAUGCACUACCAUCUGCAUUAAGUUUAAUCCAAUGAUUUUGAGGUUUGAUCCAUUUUACUAAGGUAACCUUUGUAUCAUGUAUAAAAACCUCAAUCAUAGAUACUAAUGUUUUCCAUCUUGCAGACCAUUGGAUGUAUGGAAUACAUUGUGUAGGAGUCUGAAAGUGUCUUUGAAAGCAACAAAUUUAACUCUAGCCAUGUUAGACUGUUUUCUUCCAUACUUCAUGGCACAUCUAUUUUUCCACAACUUCCAACAAAUGAAGAUGGGUGUGGACUGCAAAACGAGUUUGUGCACUUCAUUUUUGUAUUCAUUGGACCACCAUCUCAUAAGCAAGUAGGUUAGUGGUAAACAAUCUGUUUGGAUACCCAAAGAAUCUGCAAAAAAUCUCCACACAUACUUGGCAAAAUUUCCAGGAUUAAAAAUAUGUUCGAUGGUGUCCAUUUCUGUCAUAUUGUAGCAGUAGCAUGUUGAAGGUUCACCUCCAAAUAUGCAGAUGUUUUCAUUGAUGAACAAGUGAAUUCCCCAUUGGUAUUAACGUUCCAGAUAGGCAGGUCUGGUACUCCCUGCUGCAGCUGGACCUCAGUGGCUAAAAUGGCAUGGACAUGUGCUGAAGGAGCUUGCUGAAUGACCUUUUCCAUGUUCCAUUGACCAUUCUCCAUGAAGUCUGCAAUGGUAUUAUUAUUGAAUCUGUUGCUCUCAUUGGUAUAUUGUGCAAAAAGCCCCACUCCUAGCCAGUUAUCGCACCAAAAGGAAUAGGUCCCUGAUCUGUUUUUCCAUUGAAUAUAGGCUUCAAUGGUAUGUUUGUGUCUCAUCAUGUGCCUCCAAGAUUGAGAGUCUCCUGUAUCCCACUUUUUGCUAAUAGGAUUAGAUCUUUGACAUUACUUUGCUUUUAAGAAAUUGCCCCACAAAGUUCACCAUUGCUAGUAUUGAAAUGACUUACAUAUAUCACUCAAUUGUUUAACUCUAAAUCCCCUUUAUUCAAGCGAAAAGCUGAGGUUCUUCCAUGAGAACCAGUGAUAUUUCUUUUUAUUUUUUUUGCAUACCCAAGAAAAAGUAUUACAUGAUACUUUGAAUCUGGUUGAUGGUGGUGGAGGGAGGUGAUAGUGCUGAUAAGAUGUAAUGGGGAGGGACUGUAACAUAUGCUUGAUCAGUGUUGCUUUCCCUCCAUAACUUAACAUCUUAGUUUGCCAUCCUGUAAUCGUGUUUACCACCUUGUUGAUCAAUUCUGAGAAUUAUAUAACUCUUGCCCUACCAAUGAAAAUAGGGCAGCUAAGAUAGGUGAUAUGACCCUCCUUCUGAUUGAAGCCUGUAACACUUUUGAUUUUAUCAAUAGUGCUAUUGAAUGAGGUUGCUGGGAUCAUAAAGUGACUUUUGGUUUGGUUUAUGAGUUUCCCAGAGACUCUCUCAUAAAUACCUAAAGUGGGCAUGAUUAGCUUGAGAGACUUCUUUCGACCUGAGGUGAUUGAUAUGAGGGCCUCUCAGUUUAUGUAGAAACCAUUGUAAGAUGGAUGGUGAUGAAUAUUUUUGAGUGAUCUUGAUAAAACUUCAGCACCUAAAAUAAAUAGAAGUGGAGAGAAUGGGUCAUCUUGUUUCACAGCCCUCGUGGAAUGGAAAAAACCAUGCCUGGUGCCAUUAAUAAUGAUUGAAUAUCAGUUAUUACCCAUGAUUCUCUAGGCCAUAUCAAUGAAUUCUUCAUCAAACCCCAUCUUUCUCAACACAAUACAGAUAAAGGACCAUGAGACCCUAUCAUAGUCCUUUGCCGUGUCUAAUUUAAUAACCACAUUUCCACCAAUAAUAGGUUUCUUUAUUUGAUGAAUAAUUUUCUAUGCUAACGUAAUAUUUUCAGAUUUACUCCUUCCCCUGACAAACCCUGAUUGAUUUGGGGAAAUCAAAUAAUGCAGAAUGGGGCCAGCCUUAGUGUUAACAACUUGGAGAUAAUGGUGUUGGAACAAUUUCUUAAGCUGAUAGGUAUGAAUUCUAACAUCCUGUUGCGGUUGCUCACUUUAGGAAGUAGAACUAAACAAGCAUGAGAGAAAUAUUUAGGAAGCAUCCUCCCACUGAAGAAAGACAAGAUCACCUGCAGAAGGUCAUCCUUGAUAACAGACUAACACUUUUGGAAAUUUCAACCAUUCAUGCCAUCUGGUCCUGCAGCGGAGUUUGGGACAAUGAUAAGAUCCUAUAAAAGGCAGGUGAGUAAUGCUUGUGUGAAGCAUGAUUUCCAACCAUCUAUCAUUGACCAUUGCUCUAUCAAGUCUCUUCCAAAUUCUGAAAUUGAUGCUUUUGUGAUUUGACCAUGUGAAUUUCUGUCCAUUGAAGCCCAAGUCAAUCAGUCCACAAGCCUCAACGAUGUUAAUGAACUCCAAACUUUUUCUAAUAUCGUAAAGGAUACCACCUAGUUUUUCUUUUGUAGAAGUGAUGACAUUAAAGUCUCCAACUGCACACCAAGGAGUGGAGUGUGCAAUUUCAGCAUAAUGUAACAUCCUUUCCCAUAAGGAUCUUCUAAGGUGAUCCUUACAUUGUGCAUAAACCAAAGUAUUUAUGAAGGUAUUUGGAGAUUCAACAUGACUAAAUUCACAAGCAAUAUGUUGUUCAUGAGUUUCCAACACUUUACAAGUCAUGCCAAGACUCCAAAAAAUUUAAAUUUUCCCAUUACUGUUGCUUACUGCCUGAUCCAUGCCAAGUUUAUUUUUGAGAAGUUGACUUUGUGUCUUGUCUGAAAAAGGUUCCAAAACCACAAUCACUGAUAGGUGAUGAAUGUUUCUGAGGUUUUUGAGUCUUUCCACCACACCUUGGGUAUUGAUCCCUCUUACAUUCCAAUUUUGUACUUAUCAUUGGGAAAGAUCUAAAGGUAAAGAACCUAGUGUUUGGUCUUCUGACAGGAAUAGGAUCAUAAACUCUUUUGACGAGAAUUCAUUCCAAGUGUAUGCCUCUGGGGAGAGACCUUGUGUAUUGGUAACUUCUUGUAAUUCUUUUUCCAACUCUGUAUCAUUAGCAGGACUGAAGGCUUUGAUCAAUAAUUCGCUAGUCUCAUCAUCUUCAUCCUGAGCAUUUAUGGGUUGAUUGUCUUCAUCUAUCUCAUCUUCUGAAUUUUCAACCUCAUACUCGUCCCUUGGUUGUCUUGAUGUUUGCAAUUUUGUCUGAUCCAGAGGUUUGCUGGGGGUGGAAGUGUUGUAUUGAGAUUUCAAAGGGACCACAUCCAUGGUUGGUUGUUCAACCAUGAUGAAUUUCUUACAAGCAUUUAUUCCCAUAGUUCCAUCAUUCAAAGUCUGUUCCUUGUUUAGUUCUUGAACCUUUUUCUUUUUGAUUGCCUCUCCAUUUUCUUACUUGGUUUAUUUUUGGUCUUUGGAGUGUUCUCAUGUCCACUAGUACUAGCUUUGUUUCCCAUGUCUAUUGCCAUAUAACCUUUGGGUUGUUCAUGCUUUUCUUUAUUACUAUGAACUUGUUGACUUUAUUGUGGAUUUGUUCAUGAACCUGAACUUGCUUUCCUUGGGGAGUCUUUACAGUGGAAGUAGGAGCUUGAAUCAUAGCCCUCCCUUUAGGUUCCCCUUGAGUUUUCCAUUGUUCCUCCUUGUGGGUGUUACUCAUAGUAUUUGGUUCACUUGCUUGAGUCUGAUUUCCUGUCUGUAUUUCUUUAGGGUCUUCCCCUUGUGUCUGAUUAUUUUUGGUUCCUUUAUUGUGUUGUUUAUCUUGUCCUUCCUUUCUAGCUUCCGUUUAUUUUCUUUGCUUGACUUCUUCAUAUUUUGUCUUCAUAGGGCAUGUUCCAACAAAGUUACCUUGCUGUUUACAGUAGAGGCAAUAUGGUGGCACUUCUUCAUAUUCAAUAAUUUGCCACUUGCCUCUAGUUAGAUUUUUUCAUAGAAUAUCCCAGCCCCACAUGUCUAGGUUUUUCCUUGGUAAGGUCUACUUGUAUUCGGACUUUUGCCACACUGCCCCUGGUUUUCUGCAUAGUUGUUGCGUCAAGAUAUAAAGCUUUGCCAAUAGGUGACAUCACAGGAGUCAGCGUAUUGAUAUAGUAAAAAUGCCAAGGUAGCUCAGGUAAUGUGAUCCAAAUAGAGACCACCGGAGUCUCCUUUUCUGGUUUAAAUUCUGGAUUCCACAUUUGUAUUUUCAUUGAGUGACAUGCAAUAAACAUUUUUUGCUUUGUCCAAACAUUGAUGUGGUCAACUUUGAUAUCAAAAUCAAUGUAAAUAUGCCUCGAGUUGUAAUGUGCAAUCUUAACAUUUCCAAUAAGGUGAGUUUCAGUGAUAAAUCUUUUUCCGAUCACCUCCAUUUUGGGCAUGGAGUUAAUGAACUUACCCACCAAUGUGUACCUGCAUAUGCCAGCCAUUUUAUUCAUAAAAUGCUCUUCAUGAAAUGUUAUAGAUGGAUAUCCUGCUAAGUGGUGAUAAUUGGGGGAAGUAUGUUUACAUGAGAGGCAUUACCGUUUUGGAUAGCUGUCAACCUUUUUGCUAGAGUUUGUGCCAUAGUUGUGUGCGUGUGUGUGAGGGGGGGGGAGGAGGAUCAGGGAUUUGGAUGGUGUGGUUUCUGUUAAUAGAGCUGUUGGUAGGAAAUUUGUGCUGUUGUUACUUUGGUUGGUCUUUUGCCUGUUUGGUCUAUAAGUAUCAACGUUAGAAGACACCUUGAUAGAGGGACGGAUUUUCGGAACCACCAUACUAUUUUCCUUGUUAUUUUUCUGUUCAUACUGCCCCUAUUCAACAGCCUUCACAACAUGUUUACCCUUCGCAUGCUCAUUUUAACUAGCAAGUUUUGUAUUAUUUCGGGAAUAUUACUAUGAUCAUGGGGCAUUUGCAAGUUAUGAAGUAACAUACCUGUCCUUUUCGUGUUAUUGGUGUUUGGAUGGUUUUCUGUACCAUGGUUGACUUGUUGAAUGUCAAUCUCAUUGGAGUUGCUGUUGGCCUUGGCUUUCCCAUUUAUGUUUUGCUGAUCACCUGCGCACAAAGACGGAUUUUCAGCUUGUAAAUUGAUUCUUUUGGAACUUACCUCCUUGUUGUUAUUUUGGUUCAAUUCUUGCAUCUUGUCCUGAUCUUUGUGAGCAUCAUGUGAACUACCAAAGUUGUGAAUUUUCUUAGAACUUGUCUCAUUUUGCACUGUUAAUUUCGUAGGUGGAUUUCCCUUGUGCUCUGUUGCAAAAUAGUCAUCCUUGCCUCUUUGUGUUGAUUUUUGCUCCAUCUUCGAGCUUCUUGUUUGCCUGAGCAACGGCGAGUUUGCCUGAAUCUUCGCCGAAAUUAUUUCGUGUGUUCUCAUCGGUAUUACUUACAUAUUUGAAUGCGCUGAGUUGAGGCGAGUCCAAAUUAGUAUUUUGUUAUCCCUGAAUCUCAGUCAUAUCCGGCGAAACUUCAUUUGAGUUUUAAGGCGAUUUUGGCGAUUCUCCCCAAAAUUCGCUUGAUCAGAUCUCUCAAACAGAAAGAUAGAAUCACGUGAUUUUGAGAUAUUAGGUAGAUCUGGUAGUUUAGAUUCUUUUCCAUCAAUUGGAACAAGCUGAAUUAGUCCAGAUUUUGCCAUGGAAAUGAUUUCAUGUGCCCACUGUAACUCCUCUUCAGAAAGAUUAACAGUGAUCACUACGUUGUGAUUCAAAUUCGAGGAGUUGUGGUUUGAAUUUGAGGGUGUUUAUUGUUGGAGAAGAAGCGUCUCCUCAAUAGGUAUAUUUCCGCUUUGCUCUGGAGGUCGUAUGAUGGUCAGCGGCGGCUCUAUGGCCAUUCCGGUGGAACUGUAUAUUACGCUCUUAGUGACCCUUAGGCAGAAUCCUUAGGAGCAAAAUUUUAGAGAGGGAGAGAGCGUAGAAAGAGAAAAAAAUCUUGAAAUGGGAAAGGGAUGGAUCUUGGGUAUUAGGAUAUUGGGUUAUUGGGUAUGAUAUAAUCUGAAUAAUUAGACCUUUGAUUGUUGAUCCUUGCGUAUAUUAAUUGUUGUAGACCUAGAACGAGUGGAAAGAAUCCAUGUAGAGAAGAUUCAAGUGCCUUUGGGGAUUCAAGCUUGGAUUCAAGGUAGGUGAUGGUUGUGAUUUCAUGUCGGUGUAAUACAUGUUUGUAAUUGCUUCAUUAUGAUGCAUGUAUGUAUGCAAAUGUUGCAUAAUUGAUCACCCUAAUCGUAAAUGAGGAUAAUUGAAUAAUUGUAUGCCAUGAAUCAUCUCUGUUGUAUGAUCUUGAUGAUGUACUUGUGUUUAUGAUUGUGAUGUGUAAAUGUCAUCGAAUUUCCACGUUUGGAUCAGAUAGCCACGUUCCAAAAUAAAUAUUGGAUCGGAUUGACACGUUCUGGCAUACAUAUGAGAUCGAUUGCCAAGUUCCAGCAUAAACAUGAAAUUGGCUGCCACGUUCCAGCACACUAACUUGGAUCGAAUACCACGUUCUGGUAUGCUAGCAGUUUGAGUAUGGGUUCCAUAAGAGGACCAUUGAAUUGGGUCCGUGGGAGGAUCAUUGAAUUGUGUUGUGCAUCUACUUGUGAUGAUUAUGUUCAUAUCUAAUGAUGAUUGAUAUUGGAAAAAUGUAUGUUGCUCUAAAUUGAUAACCAAUGUGUAUCAUUAAGAAUAUGGAAUGCUACAUUGAUACUGAAAAAAUGAAUGAUAUUGUAUAGGUUUGGUAUAUGCCUAUUUCAUAAUGUUGUGGUUACUUGCAUGUGUUUCACUUAUUGGGAUAGCCGCGUAGUCCUACCAGUACAUUGUGGGUGCGUGAUGAUACUGCACUUGCUCUUACUUUUGUUGAGUAUAGGGCAUCCUUCGACAGCUAUUAACAUACCUCAUUUAGAGUAUCAGUGAUCGUUUCGAAUUAAAGGGUGAGCUAGUUCUUCCAGGCUUCCUUGAGUUGUCUUUUUUUAAGUCCACUCUCUUCAGACUCAAACUAUUUAUUUAAGGUGUUGUUUAGUUUCGGGGUUUUACCACUUGUUCUUAGACCUGUCGUUAGUUGAGAUUUGGUACAUUGAAUUUCAGGUUCUAGGUAUUUAAUUCCACAUUUGUUUUGUUAAUUAACUUGCUUUCCUAAUUUAAUUGCCUUAGUUUUGGUUAAGUUGCUUAGUUUGGGUUAUAGUAGUGGUUCUCCCACCGGAUGGUUAGUGUGAGUGCCAAUCAGGACGAUCUGGGUCUUCACAAAGAAUUUAUAACAAGACUGUUCUGUUGCAAUUGAAAUAACAUUUAUGUUGCUACAUAUGACUAUAAUAUUUUACAAUAGACAACUGUUGCAACAUCUAUAACAAUAUGUUGGAAACGCGAAUGCAAAUUAUUGAAAAAGUUGCAGGCACCCAGAUCAGAUGAUAGUGAAUUGAUUUCAAUUAACUAUUAAUUUUACUUACCAGAAACAAUGGUGUGUAACCCAAUCGCUUAUGACGUAAUUCCAAUUGAAACAAAACGAAAUUUGGUCCACUAGUUACAGAUUAGGUAAAUCUGAUUCAAGAAGAAGAAAGCACAAGCACUUGCAGCGAAGACCCACAAUGUAAGAAAAGAAGAAGAAGAUGAUGAUGAAGAGAGAGGGAAGAAAGACAAGCAAGCAAGAAAAGACAACAGCAGAAGAAAAAGAAGAAGACAGAGAAGAAGAGGACGAAUAUGACGGCUGGAGGCGAGGGGAAAAACUUUUAUUUCCUCUUUUGGCUCAAUAUUUCCCACCAAAAUUGGUUAAAUUAGGUUUGGUUUAGUCAAUUUACUCUUUUACCCCUCAUUUAAUUCCCAACAAAAGUUGGUUAAAUUAGAUAUUGUGAAAAAUUACCCUUUUACCCUUCAUUUUAUUCAGUGGACCAAACUGUCAACUUAUAAACUUGAGGGCAACUCCACAAUCGUUAAUCAUUAAUCACAUAAUUGUCAUCUACACCCAGUACUUAAGACUUAUGUCACCACCCAUUUAUUUUCAAACCUUAUUGUCACCACUUUUCAAAAAUCCCGAAUUUGUGCCACAGUGGGGGGGGGGGGAUCAGGGAUUUGGGUGGUGUUGUUUCUGUUAAUAAAGUUGUUGGUAGGAAAUCUGUGUUGCUGUUGCUAGUUGUUGAUUUGGUUGGUUUUUUGCAUGUUUUGUCAUUAAGUAUCAAAGUAAGAAGACACCUUGAUAGGGGGAGGUAUUUUAGGAACCACUAUAUUGUUUUCCUUGUUAUUUUGUUGCUCAUACUGCCCCUUUUCAACAGCCUGCACGAUGUGUUUACCCUUCUCAUGCUCAUUUUGACUAGCAACUUUUUUAUUAUUGCAGGGAGUAUUACUAUGAUCAUGGGGCAUUUGCAAGUUAUGAAGUAACAUACCUGUCCUGUUCUUCUUACUGUUGUUUGGAUGGUUCUCUGUACCAUGACUUAUUUGUUGAAUGUUAAUCUCAUUGGAGCUGUUGUUGGCCUUGGCUUUCCCAACUGUUUUCCCAUUUUUGUUUUGCUAAUCACCUGCGCGAAUAUGGAUUUUCAGCUUGUAAAUUGAUUCUUUUCGAACUUA